rnacentral:rRNA from 1 species
UAUGAAGGGGGCUAGCGUUGUUCGGAAUUACUGGGCGUAAAGCGCACGUAGGCGGCUCUGUCAGUUGGGGGUGAAAUCACGAGGCUCAACCUCGGAAUUGCCUUCAAGACUGCAGGGCUUGAGUUCGGGAGAGGUGAGUGGAAUUCCCAGUGUAGAGGUGAAAUUCGUAGAGAUUGGGAAGAACACCAGUGGCGAAGGCGGCUCACUGGCCCGUAACUGACGCUGAGGUGCGAAAGCGUGGGGAGCAAACAGG